UUAUAUAUUGUUAUAUAUUUUCAUGUUAUGUAAAACUUCUUUAACAUAGAUAGAUUUAUGUAACAUAGACACCCGAAAAUUGCGAUAUAGGUUGACAUCUAUUUCAAAUGAUAUCAAAAAUUAACUUUGAAUAUGGGUGUAUGUAAAAACACUGGCAACCAGCUUGUAUGCCAAUAUAUAAAAGUCUCAUUGACCCAUGUUUCAGUGUAUGCUGAUGUAGCUUCUAAAAUGUGAGAGGGCAAGGAAAUUAGACGUUACAGUACUUUUCACAAACUAAUCUGGCUUUAGUCUCUAUACUACAAGAAGUAAUAAGAAAAAUCAAUUUCAGAAGAUUACCAAUCCUUUCUUCCUGGCAUCUUUCAAAAACUCUUAAAAGUGAAUUUGGCAUUGACAGAUACUAAAUGGCAAUAAUUAUGUUAUAUCAGCAAAACGAGUAAUGAACAGUUUUAGUCUUCAACGGUUGAAAUUACUCAGCAAACAUGAAUUCAUUGAAGAAACUGAUUGUCGUUGCUCUAGCAUAAAGAUCGUUACACGAUCGACCUGAUAAAAGAUGAAAUUACUUAUAUAUGUGAUUAAUUACAAAAAGACAAUUAGUUUGUAAAUAAUCAGGUGAAUGGUAGCCUUUAUUAUAUGGCUGGUUGUGUUCAGCACAGGAUGUUGUGCAUAGUUAAUGUAACAAUAUCAGUUUUUCAGUUCCAAAAUUAAAAAUUAUGUUUCACAUAGUAAAUUGGGUUUUCUUACUCUUUUGCAUUUUAUUCGUUUUUGUUAUAUAUUAUUUAAC
rnacentral:lncRNA from 1 species